rnacentral:lncRNA from 1 species
CAAACCCAAGUCCUCAUGGGUAUUAGUCGGGUUCUUAACCCCUAAGCCAUGACAGGAAUUCCUUUUUUUUUUUUUCUUUUUUGUCAUUGUAGGCCAGCACCUGUGGCAAAGAGAAAUGUUUUAAAGAAAACAGAGGUCAAGUAAAGACUAGCUAUACAAGAAAUAAUGCAUAUUUUACAUUGUUCCAUUUUUCAGUGCCUAUCAUAUAUGGGGCUCUGUAAGCAAUCCCCUAAAUAGAAUUCUGAAAUUUCAUUGAAAUUGGCCUACAAAAUUGACAUUCUCUCCUGGUCUACCUUAUUGCCUCCAUUUUUUCUUACACGUUUUACUCUCAUACACACAUACAAAUGCUAAAAUGGUAGUUUUCAGCAAGGCACGUUGAAACUAUAUGAAAUUUAACUCCCCUAUUUUCUAUUUAUUCCCAUCAUGACACUCUGCCCAGGAGAAAGUCUUUUUUCAGGUCAGUAGAGAAAUACCAAUGAUUAUCACUAUAAACACAAUCAAGAAUAUCCAUCAGGUUUAUAAUUGAAAACAGAAAAAAUACUUACAUAAGAUCUUUUUUAAGAGAGAAAAAAAUUUACGGGAAAGAUGGAUGCUUCUAUCUAAGUUUUGAUAAGGUACACCGGUAUUUCAUUUUAGUUCUGGUUUUCUUGUAGUGAUAUUCUCAUUGCUUUAUCAGAAUAGACAAUAAAAGAUGAAUAUUUACCCUCUUCAUUCAGAGAUAACUUUUUCACCACUGAAUCCUGAGGGCUAAAAAAUUCAGAGCUCUGAUCAGAAGUGGAAUCAAAGUCACGUGUUGAGGUGCUAAAAUUAUUUUUACUACAAUAGCUAUUCAAAUCCUUGUGAGAGCUGAGCUCCUGUUUUCUGAUCUGUGAUAUCAAAGAUGUAUAAUUCUGGGAGCUCUUUGAUUCCGGCCUUGAGGUGUUUUCAGAACUGCUUGGAUUUUUCUGCGGAUGCUUUCCACUGGGUCAUGUCGCUUCUCAGUUGUCUUCUUUGCAGAGGCCAUUGCUGACCUUCCUCCUGAGACAGAUGAAGUGGUUAAGGUACAGG